CAACCCCUACGGGGCGCAGCAGUAGGGAAUAUUGCUCAAUGGGGGAAACCCUGAAGCAGCAACGCCGCGUGGAGGAUGAAGGUUUUCGGAUUGUAAACUCCUUUUGUUAGAGAAGAUAAUGACGGUAUCUAACGAAUAAGCACCGGCUAACUCCGUGCCAGCAGCCGCGGUAAUACGGAGGGGGCAAGCGUUACUCGGAAUCACUGGGCGUAAAGAGCGCGUAGGCGGGAUGGCAAGUCAGCGGUGAAAUCCUAUGGCUUAA
rnacentral:rRNA from 1 species